GAUACACUGUGUGCACAUUAUCAAAAUAAACUUAGCUCAUCAAAAGGCAGUUGUUAAGAGGUUUCCUAAAACUGAUCCAUCUACCUUUUGAAGCAAAGCGCGGGCACACAUUCUAGUUCAAGCCGAAAUUCGGUAUACCGAUUUGUCGGUAACCACCGGCGGUGGCUCGGUUUCGGUUGCAGAUUUGAGAAACCGACCAACAUCGAUCGGUACCCGGUUGACGGAAUUUGUCGUCGGUUUUCUACCGAAUCCAUGCGUACAGUAUUUUAUAGCUCCCGAAGCAAACCUAUUUCUCUCCGCCUCUCCCUCCCCGAGUCUGCGUUUGCGGAUCUGAAUAGGCCCGAACUGUUCGGCAAGCAUUUCGUGGUGUUUGUUAACCUUCAAGAUGUUUCCACACAAGUGGGGAAAGACGAAACACGAGGACAGGCAAAAAGUUCCAAAGGCUAACGAAUUUAUGUCUUUAGCUGAGGCUUCUAAUAGGAGCGGACAAGGAUCACGAAGUAGGCCUGUAGUUAAUUCACCGAUUGUAGAUGCUUUGAGAACAGCGCAGGUCGUUAAUCCAUUGUUAAUUCCCUAUGAAGGUAUCCCCAUGAUGUAUGGAUACAAACUACGGGGUCAGCUUCCGUUUGGAUUACGAAGCCUAAUAGAACUGCCAACAGGAUCCGAGAUAUUCACCGGCGCUUUAUUAGGUAAAUCUGCUUACAUAUUAAAUAUUUCUUUUAAUUAUUUUUUGACAAAUUUUAUUUCUCAUAUUUGAAUUAAUUAAUUUUCUUUGAUACUAAAAGCAAACGAUACGGUCAUUUCAUGGUUAUUACAAAAUGGGAAGACAAACUGGCCGAGUGGGAAAAAUUCGAAUGUUUGCGAAUUCUGUUGAAGUAGAUUUCAUUCCCGCCAGUGAAUCAGAUCCGGAAUUGAAAGUGGCACUUUUAGCAUUCUUGAAGAGCAUAUUGGGAGAUGAUAAUUUAAACGAGGAGUUACAACACUUUUAUAAUAUGAUUCAAGACUCUACUGAGGUUAAUUUUUGGCUGCUGGAAUAUCAUCCGAUACUAAUGAAUAUCAGGGAGCGAUAUUAUCUUCCUGCUGAUUGUCGGUUAGGGCUUCAGGAGAUUGAAGAUUGGGAAAAAAAUUUCAUAAUUAUGUGAGGCACCUUGGCCAUGCAUAUUGUGCCAUUAAAAAUAAAAUCUACCAGCCCCGUCACGAAGAUUUCGUAACUGUUUACAACGGUAACGAUAACAGAAAUCCUGACAAAGGUUUUCGUGAAGAUUAUGUGGGACUUUUAAGAUUUGUAAGAGCUCUGGUGUUUCAUGGUGCUGAUCCAGGGAGAUAUUUGCCGUGGGAGGAUGUAGAGCGAGAAUUAAGCAACAGAUUUCCUUAGAUGCUGAUCCAAUUAUUUGGAUUCUUAUUCGAGAGAAUGUCUGAAAAUGAUCUCUCUUUCUUAGUUGACCGAAGGUCUUCGGUUUCUGGUGAUGAUUGAGAAAGAGAGAUAAUAGGACUAUGCCCUUCGAGGUUUAGACACUGGGCCAUGAAACUGAAUUUAUGAAGUGGAGGGAUAAAUUUAAACUUAUAUUUGAAACUUUGAACAUAUUUAUUUUAUAUUGUUUUUUAUGAACUUUCUUAU